rnacentral:rRNA from 1 species
GGAGGGUGCAAGCGUUGUUCGGAAUUAUUGGGCGUAAAGCGCGUGUAGGCGGUCGAGUAAGUCAGAUGUGAAAGCCUUCCGCUCAACGGAAGAAGUGCAUUUGAAACUGCUUGACUAGAGUACGGGAGAGGAGAGUGGAAUUCCCGGUGUAGAGGUGAAAUUCGUAGAUAUCGGGAGGAACACCAGUGGCGAAGGCGGCUCUCUGGUCCGAUACUGACGCUGAGACGCGAAAGCGUGGGGAGCAAACAGGAUUAGAUACCCUGGUAGUCCACGCCGUAAACGAUGGGCACUAGGUGUAGGAGGUAUUGACCCCUUCUGUGCCGAAGCUAACGCAUUAAGUGCCCCGCCUGGGGAGUACGGCCGCAAGGUUG